AUGAACGCUAGCGACAGGCUUAACACAUGCAAGUCAGGGGUAACAGGGUAGCAAUACCGCUGACGACCGGCGCACGGGUGAGUAACGCGUAUGCAACCUGCCUAUAACUGGGGAAUAGCUACCCUGAAAGGGGAAUUAACACCGCAUAACACGUAUUGAUUCGCAUGGAUUGGUAGUUAAAUGUAGCGAGUACAGGUUAUAGAUGGGCAUGCGUGACAUUAGCUAGUUGGUGAGGUAACGGCUCACCAAGGCUACGAUGUCUAGGGGUUCUGAGAGGAAGGUCCCCCCACACUGGUACUGAGACACGGACCAGACUCCUACGGGAGGCAGCAGUGAGGAAUAUUGGUCAAUGGGCGCAAGCCUGAACCAGCCAUGUCGCGUGCAGGAAGAACCUGCCCUAUGGGUUGUAAACUGCUUUUAUAGUAGAAGAAACACAUCUACGUGUAGAUGUCUGCCAGUAUACUAUGAAUAAGCAUCGGCUAACUCCGUGCCAGCCGCGGC
rnacentral:rRNA from 1 species